rnacentral:rRNA from 1 species
UACGUAGGGUGCAAGCGUUAAUCGGAAUUACUGGGCGUAAAGCGUGCGCAGGCGGUUGUGCAAGACAGAUGUGAAAUCCCGGGCUCAACCUGGGAACUGCAUUUGUGACUGCAUAGCUAGAGUACGGUAGAGGGGGAUGGAAUUCCGCGUGUAGCAGUGAAAUGCGUAGAUAUGCGGAGGAACACCGAUGGCGAAGGCAAUCCCCUGGACCUGUAC